rnacentral:lncRNA from 1 species
CGAGACUAGUUGUGUGUUUAAUUAAGUUUUAGAUAGAUGAAUUUAAUCUAAUUAAGAAUAAUUAGGAAAAAGGAUUAAAUUGAAUAAAGGGUAAAUGUUUAAUUAUAGAUCAAAAGAAAAUAAGAGGGACCAAAUGGGCAAUUAAGCCACAUUUGGAAGUUGAGGCGGCAUAACAUUGUAAAAAUCUUAGAUUUUUAUAUUAUUUAUUUAUAUAAAUAUAUAAAUUAAUUAUAAAGGAUAUUAUUAAAUUAAUUAUAUUAUAAAUAUUAUAUUAAGAAAUAAAUUAAAUAAAGACAAAUGUAUGGUGAUAUUUAAUACAAGUGUAUUAAUAAAAUACAUACAUUUGUAAUACUUAUAUUUAAUUACUAAAUAGAUAUUUUUUUAAUUAUUAUAUUAAAGUAAUUAAAUAAAAGAAAACAAAAGAAAUAAAAUAAAGGAAAUAAAGUAAAGUAAGUUAAAAUAAAAGAAUAAAAGAAACAAAAGAAGAAAGAAACAGAAUAGCCAAAGACGAAACAGAGAAGAAACAGGGGAGAAAGAAGAAAAAAGAAAGAAAAAGGAAAAAUUGAAGGUUUAAGGUUUAAAGCUUUGAUUGGUAAGUCGAAUUAGCCAUUUUCUCUUAAUUCUAAUGUUUUAAAAGCUUUAAAACAAAAUUUUGAUGGAAUUAAGUUGAUAUUUUGUAAGUUCAUAGGUUUUCAAGUAUAGUUUAUGUUG